GUUAAGUCGACCGCCUGGGGAGUACGGUCGCAAGGUUACAACUCAAAUGAAUUGACGGGGGCCCGCACAAGCGGUGGAGCAUGUGGUUUAAUUCGAUGCAACGCGAAGAACCUUACCUACUCUUGACAUCCAGAGAACUUUCCAGAGAUGGAUUGGUGCCUUCGGGAACUCUGAGACAGGUGCUGCAUGGCUGUCGUCAGCUCGUGUUGUGAAAUGUUGGGUUAAGUCCCGCAACGAGCGCAACCCUUAUCCUUUGUUGCCAGCGGUUAGGCCGGGAACUCAAAGGAGACUGCCAGUGAUAAACUGGAGGAAGGUGGGGAUGACGUCAAGUCAUCAUGGCCCUUACGAGUAGGGCUACACACGUGCUACAAUGGCGCAUACAAAGAGAAGCGACCUCGCGAGAGCAAGCGGACCUCAUAAAGUGCGUCGUAGUCCGGAUUGGAGUCUGCAACUCGACUCCAUGAAGUCGGAAUCGCUAGUAAUCGUAGAUCAGAAUGCUACGGUGAAUACGUUCCCGGGCCUUGUACACACCACCCGUCACACCAUGGGAGUGGGUUGCAAAAGAAGUAGGUAGCUUAACCUUCGGGAGGGCGCUUACCACUUUGUGAUUCAUGACUGGGGUGAAGUCGUAACAAGGUAACCAAGGGCGAAUUCUG
rnacentral:rRNA from 1 species